ensembl:rRNA 5S_rRNA 5S ribosomal RNA
GUCUACAGCCAUACCACCCUGAACGCGCCCGAUCUCAUCAGAUCUCAGAAGCUAAGCAGGGUUGGGCCUGGUUAGUACUUGGAUGGGAGACCGCCUAGGAAUAUAGGGUGCCGUAGGCU